UACGUAGGGUGCAAGCGUUAAUCGGAAUUACUGGGCGUAAAGCGUGCGCAGGCGGUUGGGCAAGACCGAUGUGAAAGCCCCGGGCUUAACCUGGGAAUGGCAUUGGUGACUGCACGGCUAGAGUGUGUCAGAGGGGGGUAGAAUUCCACGUGUAGCAGUGAAAUGCGUAGAGAUGUGGAGGAAUACCGAUGGCGAAGGCAGCCCCCUGGGCCAACACUGACGCUCAGGCACGAAAGCGUGGGGAGCAAACAGGG
rnacentral:rRNA from 1 species